rnacentral:rRNA from 1 species
GGAGCAUGUGGCUUAAUUCGACGCAACGCGAAGAACCUUACCAAGGCUUGACAUAUACCGGAAAGCAUCAGAGAUGGUGCCCCCCUUGUGGUCGGUAUACAGGGUGGUGCAUGGCUGUCGUCAGCUCGUGUCGUGAGAAGUUCCGGUUAAUCCCGCAACGAGC